UGAGGCGUCUCUCUCUUGACUCCCCA
rnacentral:piRNA from 1 species